rnacentral:rRNA from 1 species
AUGAGCACGCAGCCUCAGCAAGGUAUGAACAUCAACACCCCACCUACCCAAUUAGCGUCGGGUGUCGGGUUGGGUGAUAGCAGACGGGGUAAGGAAGAGGCUCCAUUAGUCGUUGAUGACAUCGCCAUGGAUGAGGAUGAGGAUGACGAUGGCACUCAACAGUAUGUCUCUACUGGCGCCUACUCAGGGUUUGAGCGUCAUGAGUCGGUGCCUGAAUUGCCGCCUCCGGAGGCUCAACGUAUUAUAGACGACCUUCCAGCAAAGAAGCCUAGGAAGAGACCGAGGAAAGGCAAGAAAGACGAUUCUAUGAUCCAGCCGCCUCAGCAGCCUCGGGUUCAAGAUCGUGUAGAUAUUCCCGGUGCGGAUAAAUUGCAUAUGCCCAGUCAACCAAUCCUACCUGCAGCAGCGCUAGGGACCAGUUUCGGUGAUCUAAGGAGACUUCAUGACGAUGUGCUGUGGAUAGAGAAAUGCCUCAUCGCCUCGAAAGAUCCAGGAUACCCACUCUACGUGGUUAACGUUCCGCGCAAUUGUCGUACGUCGACUUCUUCCCCGCGGAUAAGUUCUUCCUUUGAUUCGUUUACAUAUUCAACAUGUUUCAUGUGA